rnacentral:rRNA from 1 species
UGAAUACGAGAUGCUACGGCGUCGAAGCAGUCUAUGUCAUACUUCCAAGAAAAGCUUGCACUGUCAUAAACAAAUAAUGCCUGUACCAUAACCGACACAGGUAGGUAGGUAGAGUAUACUAAGGGGCGCGAGAUAACUCUCUCUAAGGAACUCGGCAAAAUGACUCCGUAACUUCGGGAGAAGGAGUGCCUUAUUUAUAAGGUUGCAAUAACAAGAUCCAAGCAACUGUUUACCAAAAACACAGGUCUCCGCUAAGUCGUAAGACGAUGUAUGGGGGCUGACGCCUGCCCAGUGCCAGAAGGUUAAAGAAGUUGGUUAGCAUCCGCGAAGCUGAUAACUGAAGCCCUGGUGAACGGCGGCCGUAACUAUAACGGUCCUAAGGUAGCGAAAUUCCUUGUCGGGUAAGUUCCGACCCGCACGAAAGGCGUAAUGAUUUGGAUACUGUCUCGGAGAGGGGCUCGGUGAAAUAGACUUGUCUGUGAAGAUGCGGACUACCUGCACCAGGACAGAAAGACCCUAUGAAGCUUUACUGUAACCUGAAAUUGAAAUUGGACUUUACUUGCGCAGUAUAGGUGGGAGGCGUUGAGAAUAUUCUUGCGGGAUUAUUGGAGCCAUCAGUGAGAUACCACUCUUGUAAUGUUAGAUUUCUAACUUUGUAUCAUUAUCUGGUCAAAGAACAGUUUCAGGCGGGCAGUUUGACUGGGGCGGUCGCCUCCUAAACGGUAACGGAGGCGCACAAAGGUUUCCUCUGAACGGGUAGAAAUCGUAUCUAGAGUGUAAAGGCAUAAGGAAGCUUGACUGUGAGACCUACAAGUCGAGCAGGGACGAAAGUCGGUCUUAGUGAUCUGACGGUGCUGAGUGGAAAGGCCGUCACUCAACGGAUAAAAGUUACUCUAAGGAUAACAGGCUGAUCUCCCCCAAGAGUUCACAUCGACGGGGAGGUUUGGCACCUCGAUGUCGGCUCAUCGCAUCCUGGGGCGGUAGUACGUCCCAAGGGUUGGGCUGUUCGCCCAUGAAAGCGGUACGCGAGCUGGGUUCAGAACGUCGUGAGACAGUUCGGUCCAUAUCCGGUGUAGGCGUUAGAAUAUUGAGAGGAGCCUUCUUUAGUACGAGAGGACCGAGAAGGACAUACCUCUGGUGUACCAGUUAUCGUGCCAACGGUAAACGCUGGGUAGCUAUGUGUGGAGUGGAUAACCGCUGAAAGCAUCUAAGUGGGAAGCCCACCUCAAGAUAAGUAUUCUCAUU